rnacentral:other from 1 species
CGCUAUCAUCAUUAACUUUAUUUAUUACCGUCAUUCAUUUUCGAAUGUCUGUUUAUCCCGAAUUGAGCCGAGUGCGAUGCAUUCGGUUUUUUU